GGGUGCUGGACUAUCUAUGGUCCUGCAGGUUUUGAAUGGUCGGGCCGCCAUUU
rnacentral:ncRNA from 12 species